GCUAGUUGCCCUUGAGAAGGUGGUGACGAGCUGCAGUCCCAGAGGUGUCGGUACACCCACGGUGCUGUCAGGGAGGAAAUUCCAUGAUUUUGACCCAGCGACGAUGAAAGAACAGUGAUAUGUUUCCAAGUCAGGAUGGAAGUCUGCCACUGGGACCACCCUACCAGCUUGGCUGACGUCCCCGGGGCCUGUGCUGCUCCGGAAACAUGUGAGGAGCAAUAAAUACUCCCCGCUGGUCAAGAGGGUUCACCUUCUACAUGCGAACCCCCAGUAUGCCUACGUGGUCUUACCUGAUGGGCGGGAGGACACGGUCUCUGUCCGCGAGCUGGCACCCACAGGAGCAGCAGACCACUACCCCGAAUACUCCACGCCACAUGAGGCACAGAGAAAAUAGAGAACAUCUCUUCAUCUUCCACUCAGGUGGCCUACAACCCAGCGCAGCGCAUCGCAGGAAAAGCCCGCCCCCCCCGCCAUUCCGCACAUCUGCAAGGAGCUCUGCCACCAGAAAGCAACAUCCAUCAUCAAGGACCCACUCCAUCCGUUCUCUUCUCACUGCUGGCAUCGAGAAGGAGGUACAGGAGCCUCAGGCCCCACACCAGCAGGUUCAGGAACAGUUCUUACCCCUCAGCCAUCAGAGUGGAUAACUUCACUCACCUCAACUCCGAACUGAUUCCACAACUCAUGGAGUCACUUUCAAGGACUUGACAACGGAUGUUCUCAAUAUCUAUUUAUUAGCACAAUUUGUCUUUUUUUGCACAUUGGUUGUUUAUCAGUCUUUGUUUAUGUAAAGGCUUUCAUAAAUUCCACUGUAUUAUUUUCCUGCGAAUGCCCACAAGAAAAUGAAUCUCCAGGUAGCAUAUGGCUACAUAAAUGUCCUAAACCAGAUUGGAUACCCCACUGACCCCAACUCUGAACUGUUUCUAAACCUACGGACUCACUCGCUCAUUAUGUAUCUAUCUGUCUAUUUAUAUAUGUAUCUGCUUAUUUAUUUAUUUAUUUAUUUAUUUAUUGUAUUUUCACAGUUUGUCUUCUUUUGCACGUUGGUUGUAUCUUUGUGUGUGGCUUUUCAUUGAUUCCAUUGUAUUUCUUUGUUCUACGGCGAACGCCCGCAGGAAAAUGAAUCUUAAGGUGACAGAUCCGUGUUUUGAUCGUGACUUGAGGAACUCAGUGGAGUGUGAUAGGGGAUCUUAGCGUGAAAAGUCAACUGUUUAUUCAUUUCACGGGAACAUAGAAAACCUACAGCACUUUCUUGCUGGCGUUUGAUGUUUAUUUUUAAAAGCUUUUUGUAUGAUGCAUGGGUUGUACUCCUAAUGGUUUUUCUCCCCCCCCCCACUUUUUUGCUUCGUAGGGGUUUUUUUAUUCACAAAAUUUUCAAUCUUUAAGAUAAUCUCUUUUUUUUCCUUGAGGCAUUGUAAGUGUUGUUCCUUCUAUGUACUUGUGUUAUUUUGGAAUAAUAUAAUAAUAAUAAAAAGAUUUGAAAAGAAAACCUACAGCACAAUACAGGCCCUCCAGCCCACAAAGCUGUGCCUGCUUAAUAUUUUGUCUCCUUGCCCGGUUCCGCCCAUCGCCUACCUGCCUCUCUCAUCCCCCCCCCCCCUCACUUCGAUAUACUGCCUCCCUAUCGUCCCUGCACCCUCAUGCCCCUGAGGUAGGGUCUUGCCUUGAAAUGCCAACCCCACCCUCAGCCUCCCUGCUCCCUUGGUGAGAGGCCCACUCAGGCGCCUACCUUCCACCGAGUGUCUCCUUCAGCCACAGAACUCCAGCCUUCCUGGAGUCCAGCACGUAAAAGAACGCAGUGGAAUUGAAAUUGGUCUAUUAUUAUCACAUUAUCUAAAUACAGUGAAGAGCUUGUCUCGGCUACUGCUCAUGCAGAUCAGGUCAUUACACAGCACACAGGGUAAAACAUCGGCAAUCCAGAAUAAAGUGUAAAAACUACCGAUAAAGAGCAGUCACUAAAUGAUAGUGUAAAAUCAUAACAAAGUAGAUUGUGAGGCCAAAAUUCUAUCUUAUCACACGAGAGUCUGACAACAGUGUUGUAGAAGCUGCCUUUGCCUGUGGUGGCAUA